GGAAGCCGGGCAUGGGAGAGGAUGGCUCAUGCCCUGAAAGUCCAUGAGAGGCCUCCUCUCCCCACAUCUGCAGAAACCAGCCUGGACACCAAGUCUGUGUCAGAAGGCCACCUCAAGAGGAACAUCGUGGUGAAGACCGUGGAGAUGCGGGAUGGAGAGGUCAUUAAGGAGUCCAAGCAGGAGCACAAGGAUGUGAUGUGAGGCAGGACCCACCUGGUGGCCUCUGCCCCGUCUCAUGAGGGGCCCGAGCAGAAGCAGGAUAGUUGCUCCGCCUCUGCUGGCACAUUUCCCCAGACCUGAGCUCCCCACCACCCCAGCUGCUCCCCUCCCUCCUCUGUCCCUAGGUCAGCUUGCUGCCCUAGGCUCCGUCAGUAUCAGGCCUGCCAGACGGCACCCACCCAGCACCCAGCAACUCCAACUAACAAGAAACUCACCCCCAAGGGGCAGUCUGGAGGGGCAUGGCCAGCAGCUUGCGUUAGAAUGAGGAGGAAGGAGAGAAGGGGAGGAGGGCGGGGGGCACCUACUACAUCGCCCUCCACAUCCCUGAUUCCUGUUGUUAUGGAAACUGUUGCCAGAGAUGGAGGUUCUCUCGGAGUAUCUGGGAACUGUGCCUUUGAGUUUCCUCAGGCUGCUGGAGGAAAACUGAGACUCAGACAGGAAAGG
rnacentral:lncRNA from 1 species